GAAAUGCGAUAAGUAAUGUGAAUUGCAGAAUUCAGUGAAUCAUCGAAUCUUUGAACGCACAUUGCGCCCGUUAGCAUUCUAGCGGGCAUGCCUGUCCGAGCGUCAUUUCAACCCUCAGGGCCCCCCGUUCCGGCGGGCGGACCUGGCGUUGGGGAUCGGCCCGCCCCGUGCGGCGCCGUCCCCCAAAUACAGUGGCGGUCCCGCCGCAGCCUCCCCUGCGUAGUAGUUUACAACCUCGCAUCGGAGCGCGGUGCGGCCACGCCGUAAAACCCCCGACUUUCUGAACGUUGACCUCGGAUCAGGUAGGAAUACCCGCUGAACUUAAGC
rnacentral:misc_RNA from 1 species